AAUAUUGCACAAUGGGGGAAACCCUGAUGCAGCGACGCCGCGUGAGCGAAGAAGGCCUUCGGGUCGUAAAGCUCUGUCCUAAGGGAAGAAACGGACGGUACUCAUGGAGGAAGCCCCGGCUAACUACGUGCCAGCAGCCGCGGUAAUACGUAGGGGGCAAGCGUUGUCCGGAAUUAUUAGGCGUAAAGGGUGCGUAGGCGGCCCUUUAAGUCAGAUGUGAAAGCCCACGGCUUAACCGUGGGACUGCAUUUGAAACUGGAGGGCUUGAGUGUCGGAGAGGGCAGUGGAAUUCCCAGUGUAGCGGUGGAAUGCGUAGAUAUUGGGAGGAACACCAGUGGCGAAGGCGACUGCCUGGACGAUAACUGACGCUGAGGCACGAAAGCUAGGGGAGCAAAC
rnacentral:rRNA from 1 species